rnacentral:rRNA from 1 species
GACUCUAAGCGGUGGAUCACUCAGUUCUUGGGUCGAUGAAGAACGCAGCCAGCUGCGAGACUUGGUGUGAAUUGCAGGACACACUGAGCACUUACUCUUUGAACGCACAUUGCGGCCUCGGGUCUUCCCGUGGCUUCGUCUGUGUGAGGGUCG